CCUAUGUCCAAGAAAAUUAAGGAAUGCAGACACAAGGGUCGGGGUGGAGUCAAAGUUUAAUAAGCAAAAAAGAAAGCUUUCUGCAGCAGAGAGGGGAGUCCAAGUGGAUUGCCGGGUUACAGCUGAAUUUAAAAGCGUUUUAUAAGAAACUGCUCUCUUCCCUGUAACUGUUGGAAUAACUUUUCUUACCAGUAAAGCUGUCUGUGCAAUUCUUCUUCUCUUAUGCAGCUGUGGGUAUGUCUCUAGGCAAGCACAAAGCCCCACUUCUCUUGUUUGUAUAACUGUGGGUUUGUUUUAGGGGUGGGGCCGCUUUAUAGGGUUUGGGAAGAUAAUGGAAAAUUACAGUCAAAGGGGGUUGUUCUCUGGUGGGCAGGGGCGGGGGUCACAAGGUGCUCAGUGGGGGAGCUUCUGAGCCAGGAGAAGGAAAUUCACAGGGUUAAUCACUCAGUUAAGGUGGGGCAGGAACAAAUCACAAUGGUGGAAUAUCAUCAGUUAAGGCGUGGCAGGGCCUUUUCACUUCUUUUGUGAUUCUUCAGUUACUUCAGGCCAUCUGGGCGUAUACAUGCAAGUCACAGGGGAUGCGAUGGCUUGGCUUGGGCUCAGAGACCUGACAUUCCUGCCUUCUGAUAUUAAUAAGAAAAAUAAAACAAAAUAGUGUUGAAGUGUUGGGGUGGCAAAAAUUUUUGGGGGGUGGUAUGGAGAGAGAAUGGGCGAUGUUUCUCAGGGCUGCUUCAAGCGGGAUUAGGGGCAGCGUGGGAACCUAGAGUGGGAGAGAUUAAGCUGAAGGGAGGUCUUGUGGUAAGGGGUGAUAUUGUGGGGAUGUUAGAAGAGACAUUUCUUGUAUAGAAUGAUUGGUGAUGGCCUGGAUACGGUUUUGGAUGAAUUGAGAAACUAAAUGGAAGAUACAAGGUCCGAAUAAAAGAAGGAGAAAAAUGGGUAUUAAAGGACUAAGAAUUGGGAGGCCCUAGGACAUCCAAUUAGAGAGUGCCUAAGGGGUUCAGCAUAAUUACUUGCUUGGUUGGCAAGUUUUUGGGCUCUAUCCUUGAGUUUUUUUAUGUUGUCAUACACCAGGCCAGAUUGAUUUAGGUAAAAACAACACUCUUCAUUUAAGAAUAUGCAGAGUCCUCCUUUUUCAGCAGUGAGUAAGUCAAGGCCUCGGCGGUUUUGGAGGACAACUGCAGCUAAAGAGUCAACUUGGAGUACUGAUAAAGUUUGUGACAUGUCUGUGAUGCUAGCAGAGAAGUCAUUAGAGAGGCUACGGAAGGUCGAGACAGAAGUUGAAAUGCCUGCUAUUCCAGUACUGAGAGCAAUAGUGGAGGCAGAAAGUCCUAAACCGACCAUCAAGGGAAUUAGUGGAAUAACUCUUCUUUGUCAUGUCGGUGUCAUGAGGGGAACAGGGAGCUCUUCGGUCCUAUUUGCAAAUUGAAUUUUGGGGGAAAGGAAGACUAGUGUGCAUGUGCCUGUCCAAUUAGCAGGUAGACACAUGUAGGUAGAGGAACCACAGAGGAAGAAGAGACCUUGUGCAAGGCAAAACUGGAGAUGUAAAGUAAAAAGAUGAGAAGGAGUGCUGAAAGGGGUGUCUUGUACCUAGAGUCCUAGGGAUCCAGCUAGGGCGGCAGCUGUCAGAGGUUGUAAUGGGGACUGAUGGGGUAACUGCGUAGAGGGGGAGGUUCAAUUUUCAUGGUGUAUGAGAAAACAUUGAGUAUCUAUGAGCAACCUUUCACUGUUAUUUUCGGGGCUGGAUAUAAGUAAACAAGAAUAGGGCCUGGGAGGAGAGUCUGAUGAGCAAGGGGAAGGUAGCCAAGGAUGGAGUUCAAUACAGGGUAAGUGUCUUCCUAAGCAAUAAUUACUGCUAACAUUUUUAAGUUUAUCAGUAUUGAUAGAGGGCUUGUCUGUAAUAUGGAGCUGGAAGGCUCCAAUUGUUUCAGUGAUGUGUGUAAUUGGGCUUCGGAGAUGAAGAGUAAAGGAACAUCGAGAGGGUGAAAGAUUACCUAGGGGAAUUCCAGUGGGUCUUUGCUGAGAGAUACAUAAAGGAGCGGCCACAGGAAUAGUAGUUUGUGUUGUGAGAGGUCCGAAUAUGGGGGGAGUAGAGUUAAUAUAAGGAGAAAGGUUUUUUAAAUAAGUGCGAAGGAGGGCGGCAGCUUGCUGAUGUGAAAUGUCUGGGGAAGUCUUGCUGGACCUGUCUAGAGAGUAAAUGAGUUCUUCAGGAGGGUAAAGAUGAGGGCUGCUAAAGGAAGUUCAGAGGUGUAGGGAGACGGGAGAUAUUGCCCAGUCUGUCUGUAAGGCGGGGACAGCUGUGUAGGCACUGGAAGAAAGGGAAAUGCAAAGCCAGCAGUUGUUCACUAAGGAGGGACUAGAAGUGGCUAGGAGAGAAUGGGUAAGGUUGAUAGUGUGGUGGAGAUAGCUGGGGAGAGGUAGAGGGUGGCAUAAGAAUGGGAACGAGAAUAAGAGUGAGUAUAAAAGUAAAGAAUAGAACUUCAUCAGGGUGGAAGUAUUGGAGGGUGCCUUGCCAGCAAAGAUCAUCUACCCACUCUAAGAGGGAGUUAAGAGUGGCAGUUUGGGGUUAGCACCAAGAGAUAUCAGCUGUGAUGGCUUGAAGAAACAGUGUAAACCGGCGGUGUAAAGAAGAGUAGGGCAUUUAUAAGUAGUUGAGAAUGGAGAAUAGGAGUAUGACCAGACAGAAGAUAGUAGGGAUGACUAGUUUUUUUGGGCUCGGCCUAAGUGGUUGGGGUGACUUCGUAAAGCCCUGUUGCAAAAAGUAGGGUAAGGACGAACAGACCUAAUAGAAUGAAGGGAUGUAUUAGGCUCAUAAGGGUUAUUACUGCUCUUCAGAAAUAUGAGUGAGUUUAAGGGAAGUAGGGGAGAGUACUUGCGGCUUCCAGGAGGAAGAGGAGGGAUUAGGCUGGCUGUCCGAUGGACACAGCUUUAUUCUGGAAUGGUGAACCUAGUGGGGAGGAUCCUGCAGGCAGACGGCAGUCGGGGUACUAUAGAAGACGAGGUAGCAUCCGGUCCAUCGAGGUUGUAGAGUUUGAGGGGUCAGAUUCUUAACAAGAACUGAUCAUCCAGCUAGGAUGUCUCCAUAUGGCUGGGGAUCUGGAGUAGGCAAGAGAAGAUUAGCAGCCUGGUGAAUUUCCUGUCUAGCCUGCUGGAGGACUGGAAGAUAGUCACCUAGAGGGCUGGUGUCUGGGAUGAGGUUGGGGCCAAGCAAGAAAGUGUGUCCAUAUAAAAGUUCAAAUGGACCGUACCCUGUAGCAUCUCAAGGACAGGCUCUAAUUCUGAGAAGAGCAAGAGGUAAAAGUACUGUCCAAUCCUUUUUAAGUUGGAGGCUGAGCUUGGUGAGGUUUACCUUUAAAAGACCAUUAGUCCAUUCUACCUUUCCUGAAGAUUGAGGAUGGUAAGGGAUAUGAAGGUUCCACUGAAUACCAAGAGCCUGAGAAACUGCUUGGGUGAUUUGACUAGUAAAGGCUGGUCUGUCAUCAGACUGUAUAGAGGUGGGAAGCCUAAACUGAGGAAUUAUGUCUGACAGAGGGGAAGAAAUGACUGUGGUGGCCUUCUCAGACCCUGUAGGAAAGGCCUCUACUUAUCUAGUGAAAGUGUCUACUUAGACUAAGAGGUAUUUUAGUUAUCUGACUUGGGGCAUGUUGAGUGAAGCUAAUUUGCCAGUCCUGGGUGGGGGCAAAACCUUGAGCUUGAUGUGUAGGGAAGGGAGGGGGCCUGAAUAAUCCUUGAGGAGUAGUAGAAUAGCAGAUAGAAUAGCAGAUGGAACACUUGAGAAGUUAUUUCCUUGAGGAUAGAUUUCUACAAUGGAAAGGAAAUGAAAGGUUCAAAGAGGCGGGCUAGUGGCUUGUACUAUAGCAUAGCCUGCCUUUGCUGAUGUGUGGUGAUUAGGCCUGGUGGAACUGCCAUCAAUAAAUCAAGCGUGAUCAGGGUGAGAAACAGGGAAGAAGGAAAUGUGGGGAAAUAGGAUGAACAUCAGGUGGAUCAGAGAGAUGCAAUCAUGAGGGUCAGGUGUGGUAUCAGGAAUACUGUGGGAGGCUGGAUUGAAGUCCAGGCCAGGAACAAUGGUAAUUGUGGGACUUAACAAAGAGUGAGUACAGCUGAAGGAGCUGGGGAACAGAAAGUAUAUGCGUCAGGUAUGAGGAAGAAAAUAGAUUUUGGAAGUUAUGAGAAAUGUAGAGAGUGAGUUGAGCAUUGUUUGUGAUUUUUAGGGCCUCUAAAAUUAUUAAAGCAGCAGCAGCUGCUGCACACAGACAUGAGGGCUAGGCUAAAACAGUAAGGUCAAGUUGUUUCGACAGAAAGGCUACAGGGUGCGGUCCUGGCUCUUGUGUAAGAAUUCUGACGGCACUAACCAUGCCUAGGAAGGAAAGGAGUUGUUGUUUUGUAAGGGAUUGAGGUUUGGGAGAUUAAUUGGACAUGAUCAGCAGGGAGAGCAUGUGUGUUUUUAUGAGAAUUAUGCAGAGAUAGGUAACAGAUGGAGAAGAAAUUUGAGCUUUGGAGGGGGAUACCUGAUAUCCUUUGGAGAAUAAAUGCUGAAGAAGCAGAAGUGUGUCUUGUUGAGAAGAUUCAAAGGAGGGGCUACAAAGAAGAAGGUCAUCAAUAUAUUGAAUAAGGUGAGAAGCAGAGGGGUGGAAAGAAAGUAGAUCAUGAGAAAGAGCUUGGCUGAAGUAAAUGAGGGCUGUCCCUGAAACCUUGCGGCAGCACAGCCCAGGUAAGCUGCUGGGACUGUUGGGUGUCAGGGUCAGUCCAGGUGACAGCAAAGAGAGGCUGGGAUGAGGGGUGCAGGGGAAUAGUGAAAAAAGCAUCUUUAAGAUGAAGCACAGAAUAGUGAGUUGUGGAGGAAGGUAUUGAGGACAAAAGAGUGUACAGGUUGGGCACCACAGGGUGGAUAGGCAAAACAAUUUGGUUGGUAAGGCGCAGAUCCUGAACUAAUCUGUAAGACUUGUCGGGUUUUUGGACAGGUAAAAUGGGGGAAUUGUAAGGAGAGUUUAUAGGUUUUAGAAGCCUAUGCUGUAGCAGGUCAGUGAUAACAGGCUUUAAUCCUUUUAAAGCGUGCGGUGGGAUGGGAUAUUGGCGUUGAGUGGGGUAAGGGUGAUUAGGUUUAGUGGGAUGGUAAUGGGCAUGUGAUCGGUUGCCAGGGAAGGAGUAGAGAUGUCCUAUACUUGUGGUUAAGGUGGGGGGAUAUGAGAGGAAGACGCAAAGGAGGCUUUGGGUUGGGGAGAAGGGUGGCAAUGAGAUGCAGCUGUAGUCCAGGAAUAGUCAGGGAAGCAGAUAAUUUAGUAAGUGUCUCGGCCUAAUAAGGGAACUGGGCAGGUGGGGAUAACUAAAAAGGAGUGCUUAAAAGAGCAUUGUCUAAGUUGGCACCAGAGUUGGGGAGUUUUCAGAGGUUUAGAAGCCUGGCUGUCAAUACCCACAACAGUUAUGGAGGCAAGGGAAACAGGCCCUUGAAAAGAAGGCAACGUGGAGUGGGUAGUCCCCGUUUCGAUUAAACAGGGGAUGGAUUUACCCUCCACUGUGAGAGUUACCCAAAGCUUGGCGUCCGUGAUGGUCCAGGGGGUUUCCAAGGCGAUGAGGCAGCGUCACUCUUCAGUCGCUAAGCCGAGAAGGAGUCAGUCAGAGAGCCUUGGGCCAGAGUUCUCAGGGCUCUGGGAGUGGCUGCCAGAGCAGGUAUUCACAGAUGUUUGUUAUGAGGAUGGUUGCAGCUCUGUUCCUGGAGGAACAUGGGGAAAUAUCGGAAACUUCCCUGGGCCCAAGCAGAGGAACAGAGGACCCUGAGUGAACAACAGAGAAGAAAUGUGUUUCCUUCCUGUAUCUUCUGUGUAGCGAAGGGCAUCACCACUCAUCAGUUGACAAAGCCAGACAGAAGUGAAAGUACUUGUUGAAUGAGUUCUUGAUUCUUCUUUUACACACCUACUGAAUCACUGAGUUUAGGUUUUGACAUAAUUUGGUGUCAGAAGUAGAAUUGAAGCUGGUUAGUUGGACAGAUGGACAACCCCUGAAAUUGAGUGAAUUGCCUGUGCUGAGCCCUUUUGAGCUCUCCACCUCCGUGGCUGACCUUUUCUACCCUGCUGAAUCUCCUCUCAGAUUCCUGGACUCCUUUUUGGGCUAAGGAAUUGGGUUACUUUGUGCCCCGCCUCUGCCCGCAGGGAAGACCAUUCCUGGAUUUACCCUUCGAGGGAGCAGUAGAAGCGGAUCUGGCAUGAAGUGGGGGACACAACUCCCCUUAUGCUCCCAGCACAUCUCCUGGGCUGAGGCCAUCUCAGAUUGGAAGACCAGCUUUCCAAAGCAAGUCUCCUCCACAUCAUGAAGGAGAAAAAGGUGAAACAUUUGAUGUCCUGAUGGUAAUAGGAUCACAGGCUCUAAAACAUGAGGGAGGUGGGGCUGGACAAAGUCUUUAGGAGACUGCUGAAUUGUUGACUUUAUUCCAAGUCAGGAUCCCGAGUAAUCACUGAGCCUCAGUAUAAUUAUAUGCACAUGAGAAGCUAUUUAUUUCUUGCAUUCUGCUUAUCUUUGCCAAGAAAACACUCCUCCCCCAUGCCUUAAAAUGCCCAGAGACAUGGUUCUGGAUGAGCCACUUGGAGGGCUAAGGGCACCUGCUGGCUGAGGCCCAUGAGAACACACCAGCCCUGUGGGGAAAGUGUGGAGCUCAUGUACCCACUGCCCUUUCCCUGCUCAGAGCAGGGCAUCCCGACAGCAGCUAUGAAUGCACCUGCUCUGAGCAUCUCCCCGCCAGGCUCUGUGCACUCCAUCAGGGUCCUCUUCUGAGCCUGGCACUGCUCACCUGGGCAGAGAGUCCACUCAAGCCCCAGAGUCCUUGGCUUCAUUGGAAGUUCCUCCUGGGAGCAUCAACACAGCCCUUUCCCCCGUAUCCACUGGCUUUUGGGGAGCUGGGCCUGGGAAGCCCUUUUCUCUCCCUACGCUGUAUUCAUCCUGCCAGCCAAGCUGGAGCCUCUGCAUUUUUUAGUCCAAUUAUUGGCAGCUGUACAGGUUUCCCAGAACACCUGGCCCUCCUCACCCUCAUUCUGUGGCAUUAUUUAAUCAAACUGGCUAGGAGUAUUUAUAGCUCCCCUGAAAGGCAGCAGCCGCUCCAUUCCCGGGAAAGUGGAACAUUGAGACAUUAAAGAGUAUUUUCAAAAGAAAAAAAGUCCUCUCACAGACUCAUGAUGUUGCCAUCCCAAUGUGUCUUCCAAAAAUAGGCCUCCCGGACAGCUCCUCGGUGCCACCAGCUCUCUCCUCUGUGUACUUGCCACCUGCCAGGCUCAGAGUGAGAAAGCUACCUGCUACUGUUCCCAAAUGGUCAGUUCUAAUUCUCCAGCCCUCCUCCCAACCCAGAAAAUCCCAAUAUUCUUCCCUGGGUAGAUGUCCCUUUGAUUAAAAGAGAUGGAGCCAAGGGAAAUAACUAAAUCACAACUAAACAUUCCCUCUAGUGCAAGGAGUCAAUGAUUCUGGAUACUCUGCCACUCUGUUCUCCAUGGGAGCACCAAAGCCCAUCUUAAAUACAACCUCUUUCAUGCUUUAAGACUUAUGGAAGGAAGCCCAGGCCCAAUGAUUUGCUCAAAGUCCCAAAUGCUCUUUGGACUCAAGGCAUUCUGGUGGAGCAUCAGACAAAUGUGUGGCUCUUGGCCAAGAGCCAGGGAGCACAGAAAACUCUGAAGCUGGGGCAGGUGCAUGCUGGCUAGGCAGAAACAGUUACAGACCUUUGGAGAUGAAGAGCAACUGAGAAGGUAUGGUUGGAGAGCCU
rnacentral:lncRNA from 10 species